rnacentral:rRNA from 1 species
GUUAGGAAUCUUCCACAAUGGGGGCAACCCUGAUGGAGCAACACCGCGUGCUGGAUGAAGGCCUUCGGGUCGUAAACAGCUUUUGUAUACGAAGAAUAUGACGGUAAUAUACGAAUAAGGGUCGGCUAACUACGUGCCAGCAGCCGCGGUCAUACGUAGGACCCAAGCGUUAUCCGGAGUGACUGGGCGUAAAGAGUUGCGUAGGCGGCUUAUUAAGCGAGUAGUGAAAUCUGGUGGCUCAACCAUCAACACAUUGCUCGAACUGAUAGGCUUGAGAAUGGUAGAGGUAGUUGGAAUUUCUUGUGUAGGAGUGAAAUCCGUAGAUAUAAGAAGGAACACCAAUGGCGUAGGCAGACUACUGGACCAUUUCUGACGCUGAGGCACGAAAGCGUGGGGAGCGAACCGGAUUAGAAACCCGAGUAGUCC